rnacentral:rRNA from 1 species
UACGUAGGUGGCAAGCGUUGUCCGGAUUUAUUGGGCGUAAAGCGCCCGCAGGCGGCUUGCCAAGUUCGAUGUGAAAUCUCCCGGCUCAACUGGGAGGGUGCAUCGAAAACUGGCAGGCUUGAGGCAGGGAGAGGGAUGUGGAAUUCCAGGUGUAGUGGUGAAAUGCGUAGAUAUCUGGAGGAACACCGGUGGCGAAGGCGGGUCUCUGGGCCGGAUACUGACGCUGAGGUGCGAAAGCGUGGGGAGCAAACAGG